UCAAAUGUAUGUUUGACGUAUUCUGAAAGGGAUACUUCUUCGGACAAUAUACAAGGUGCUGCAUGGUUGUCGUCAGCUCGUGCCGUGAGGUGUCGGGUUAAGUCCCAUAACGAGCGCAACCCCUAUCAUUAGUUGCCAUCAGGUCAAGCUGGGGACUCUAAUGAAACUGCCUACGCAAGUAGUGAGGAAGGUGGGGAUGACGUCAAAUCAGCACGGCCCUUACGUCCAGGGCUACACACGUGCUACAAUGGCCAGUACAAAGGGCAGCUACCUGGUGACAGGAUGCUAAUCUCAAAAGCCGGUCUCAGUUCGGAUCGGAGUCUGCAACCCGACUGCGUGAAGUCGGAAUCGCUAGUAAUCGUGAAUCAGAAUGUCACGGUGAAUACGUUCCCGGGCCUU
rnacentral:rRNA from 1 species